CCCCAUCAAAAAGUCAUUAUAUAAUAUAGAUGAAAGGUCAUACAACCGAAAUAAAACUAUAAAGCAGAACUUGAGGCAUAUUUAAUUGUAUCUCAACUACAACUAUGGGCAUUGCAUCGAAAACCAAUAGAAGGCGCAGAAGUAUUACAAAGCCCAUGAAACAAAUUUCUACUAAAUUUUAGGCACCAUCCUAUACCACAAUACAUAAAGUCAUAAACACAAAUUCAAGUUGUUUCAGAAGACGACCAAGAAAUAAAAGCUAGAUAAUAUUUUCCUCUGCAUCCAGAAUUACCGAUCCACAAGACUCAAGAAGCAAAGCUAGAUAAUAUUCACCCCUGCAUCCAGAAUCACCAAUCCACAAUACUCCCGAUAAGCAUUAAGCCUGUAAGGUAAAAAGAAUUAGGAAAAAGCGAUUCCAAAGAUCACACUCUUGCUUUUUCUGGAAUGAAUUAGAGGAACUAGCAAGGACAAGUACUAUUUAUGCUUUUUUUGUUUUUGUUUUGAAGAAUGCAAGAAUAGGGUAAGCACCACAAAGACACAUUGCACAGUGCACUUUUGCAUACACUUUCAAUGAGCUAAAGCUUUACAUUUUUCAUUUGGUAAGCAUUAUAUUCAAAUCAACAUUUGUACAAAAAGGGAGUAAACCGAUUAUUACCUUGUUGGCUAUGUUGUUGGAAAGCCAGUCCAAACCUUCAUAGAGACCCUCCCCAGAGGUUGCACAGGUGCUCUGGAUGUACCUGGAAGAACCAGAAGAGUAUUUUAGAUCUCAAGAUUCCAAUCAAUACUGGACACGAAGCGCUUCAUCAUCAAAAUACUUACCAGUGGCGCUGUCUCAGCGAGUGAAGACCCAACUUGUCAGUAAUUUCGGCAGCAUUCAUUGCAUUUGGAAGAUCUUGUUUGUUGGCGAACACAAGCAAAACUGCAUCUCUCAGUUCAUCCUGAAAAGAUAAUUAAAAUAGAAGUUUUCAAAAAGUCUCGUUUCAUCUCAUUCACAAACAUAAAGAAAACAGAAAGCAAUAGAGCAAAGAGACUGAUGAUUCUUUCCGUGAUACUUCUACACAUUAAAGUUGAGAUAGAAACUCAUUCAAUUAGAAGCACUAAACAUCCUAGGAAAUUUACAAGAACUGGUGAUUCAACUCCUAAUAUGUACAACAAAAUACAACAGAGAAGAGUUAUCAGAAAUUAUGAUCCAGCAGCAGAUAGCAUCUUGUAUUAAACCCGUGAGUGUCAAAGUAACAGUGGUAGUAGAUACAGGAAAAUGUUUGACAUUUCCUUAUUAAAACAGAGUAUUGCUUACACAAAACCCAAAAAGAAAUCUUUGAAUAUGUUGAGACUACAUAAACAAAUAUUCUUCAUAGGUCAAUAUGAUUCUUUGACCAGUCAAUCUUAACUACUCUGGUUAAAGGUGCUAUCUUUCAGCCGCAUGUGAUCCCAAACAUUGUCUAUAAGAAUGAGUUCCCUAAAUUUGUCAUAGGAGCAUCUAACAUAAACAAAAAUGAAUGUGAAGACAUGGCAUCAAAGGCCAAAAUAGGUCAAAUAAAGUUAAAGUACCUCAUUCAACAUCCUAUGUAACUCAUCUCUGGCCUCAACAACUCUAUCCCUGUCAUUGCUGUCUACGACAAAUAUAAGACCCUGAGUGUUCUGGAAGUAGUGCCUCCACAGUGGACGAAUCUGUAAAAGAAAACAAAAGUAUUCAGCCACUGACUUCAAAGACAAUUAUCAGAGAUAUGUUCGGUUGUUUGCACUACAAUCUUGUAAAUUGCAUCUAAACAUAAGGUAUUGCAAAAAUUUACACCUUGUCUUGGCCUCCAACAUCCCAAACGGUGAAGCUAAUGUUCUUGUACUCCACAGUCUCAACAUUGAACCCUAAACCAAAUCAAUAAAUAAAUGUUCAAGCAUCUACAUAACAGCAUCACAAUAGUUCAGCAAUCUGACACAAUGCACAAUAGUGUUAUAAUAAUGACCAAUAAUCCAUCAUAGAAAGCAUUGUCAAAAGUAAUAUUGCAGUUGUUGAGGAGUAUUUGGAAAGUGUAGUCAAUAGUGGAUUGUUAAAAUUCCACUACACACUAGUGCUAUAGCACAAGUGUAACCGCUAUUUGACAACAUUUUAUACUAAAUAGGGUAUCAACCGUAGAACAAUAGUGGUUUGCUCAAAUUCCAUUACACUAUAGCAGUAUAGCGCUGCUAAUGCUAUAGCUGCUAUUUAACAACAUAGUAUAGACAUCAGGUCUCAAAGCAUCACACAUUACUUCCUCCAUUCCUUUUUUAUGGUUAGUUUUUUUAAAGGAAAAAAUAGUUCUUAUUUAUCUACCAUUUUUAAAUUUAAAAAUUACAUAACUGCUUUUUGUUGAUCAUACCAUUAUCUUAUCAAUGAAAUUCCACUUACAUUAAUGAAAAAUAGACAAAACACUAAAUGAAUGGGUGAGCCAAUAAAAUUUAAUGAAAUUUGAAAGUUGCUUAUUAAAUUAUAAAUUAAAGUUAUAUCUUGGUUUUUGUAAAAGACAAACCAAGAACUAAAAGGGAGUCUAUGGUAUUGGCAUCUAAUAUGACCAACAUACUUUGGGAUCUCAGAGUUAAAAACAACAAAUUUAAAGGUUUCUUCUUAUGUACAAUCGCAAUAUGUUGAUUAAACUCCAUUUCAAAGAUCACUGAGGUAACUGGCCUAGAACUCAAUUAUACAUAGCAUGUACUAAAUCAUUAAAACAUGAAGAUAAUUUUAGUCUAUGUUUGGUGUAAUAGUUGGUAUGCCAGAAUCACAGCAAGCCAGUGAUUUUGACAAACAUACUAUGACACCAAACAUGCAUGGAUAUGCUGUGAUUCUGGCCUGACAUUCCAACUAUGAUAUCAAACAUGUGGAUCAAACUGAUAUCAAACAAACACAUAUUUUCACAUCUUAUAUAUAAAAAGCAUAUAGUAACAGAAACUUACCAAUGGUAGGGAUGGUGGUGACGAUCUCUCCAAGCUUGAGCUUGUAAAGGAUGGUGGUCUUACCAGCCGCAUCGAGACCAACCAUCAGAAUUCGCAUUUCCUUCUUCGCGAAUAACCGACUGAACAGCUUUGUGAAUGUUAACCCCAUUUCUCUUCACUUCCUUGAUCCGACCUAA
rnacentral:lncRNA from 1 species